UUUCUUCUUUAUUUUUCUUUCCUAUUCUUUCUCUUUUUAGUUUUAUUUUUGUUUAAUUUUUCAUCUAGUACAGUGCUACUAAGGUAUUUUCCAUUUUGUUUGUAUGCAAGGUCCAGACAAUCAUGCAAGAUGACAUUUAUGCUACCUUGGCAAAGUUUGAAGCUUAUUCAAAGGAACUUUCAUAAAAAAUACUAAUUGAACAAAAUGCGAGAAAUUAUUCAGAGCCAG
rnacentral:lncRNA from 1 species